rnacentral:rRNA from 1 species
GACAGAGGAUGCAAGCGUUAUCCGGAAUGAUUGGGCGUAAAGCGUCUGUAGGUGGCUUUUUAAGUCCGCCGUCAAAUCCCAGGGCUCAACCCUGGACAGGCGGUGGAAACUACCAAGCUGGAGUACGGUAGGGGCAGAGGGAAUUUCCGGUGGAGCGGUGAAUGCGUAGAGAUACGGCGAAAGAACACCACGGCGAAAGCACUCUGCUGGGCCGACACUGACACUGAGAGACGAAAGCUAGG